GACGAACGCUGGCGGCGUGCCUAAUACAUGCAAGUCGAACGAAGUGGCGGACGGGUGAGUAACGCGUAAUCAACCUGCCCUUCAGAGGGGGACAACAGUUGGAAACGACUGCUAAUACCGCAUACUGAAGGAGGGGAUUUCGUCUGAUUAGCUAGUUGGGGGGGUAACGGCCCACCAAGGCGAUGAUCAGUAGCAGGUCUGAGAGGAAGAACGGCCACAUGGGGACUGAGACACGGCCCAGGCUCCUACGGGAGGCAGCAGUGGGGGAUAUUGCACAAUGGGCGAAAGCCUGAUGCAGCGACGCCGCGUGGGGGAUGAAGGCUUUCGGGUUGUAAACCUCUUUCGAUAUCGAACGGGUAGGUGGAGAAGAAGCGCCGGCUAACUACGUGCCAGCAGCCGCGGUAAUAC
rnacentral:rRNA from 1 species